CUUAGAUAUUUUAAAUACAAAAAUAUUCGCCAGAGAAUUACGAGCUAAACAUGCUUAAAACUCUAAGGACUUGGCGGUACCUCAAACCCACCUAGAGGAGCCUGUUCUAUAAUCGACAAUCCACGAUUCACCUCACCAUCUCUUGCCAACUCCGCCUAUAUACCGCCGUUAAGCUUACCUUAUGAAAGACAAAAAGUAAGCAAAAUAAUCUAAACAAUUAAUAAAUCAGGUCAAGGUGUAGCUUACUGAGAUGGAAGAAAUGGGCUACAUUUUCUAUAUUAGAAAUAACUACGGAAAGAUACCUUGAAAUAGGUUCUACAAGCAGGAUUUAGCAGUAAACUGGGAAAAGAGAGCCCAA
rnacentral:rRNA from 1 species